rnacentral:lncRNA from 1 species
AUAUAUAGAAGAGAUUUCAGUUUAUUGUGUACAUGAAUUUAAAGUUGAAUAAUACAUAAAUCUCUAUACUUAUCUUCGAUUUAUUUACUUUACAGUUUUUAUUUUAUAACAUAAACAAAAUAUAACUUAUUAAGCAAUACAACAAAUAACAUGUGCAUCAACCAAAAGACAAAAACAGACACAAUAUAUUAUGUCAAUUUAAGUGUAUGCCAUUUACAAAAAGACAAGAAAUUUUAGACAAAUAUCCCUAUUUUGUCUUGAGAGUCUACAUUUCUUCUUCAUCACAACUUGCACAUAAUCUUGUAUAACUUUCUUCUUGACUUCCCUGUCUCUUUUUGGUACUUUCACAACUUCAUUGUAACCUUGCACAAUUUAUGGUCAUGUACAACUUACCUACAACAUCGUGUUCAGCAAAAUCCUAUAAAACAAUACAACACCAUGAGAAAAAAUAAAAUUAAGCACAUAAAAAGGACCAUAAAAUUCAACUAACUAAGGCAACACAAAUAAAAAAUAACAAUUUUUGUCUCUUUUGGAGUCAUUCCUAGAGCAGCAAAGCAUUUGUGAGGUGUGGUCCCUGGGUGCAACAAAAGUAUUAUGGUUAUUCCUUAAAGUACUCCUCUUUGGCUUAAGAGCUUAAAAGACCGCUGCUUGAGAGCUUUAAAACACCGUUGCUUGAGAAGAGAAUUGAGAUAGUAGUAUGUAUUUUGUUGAUCCUUGCUUGACAGCCCUAAAAACGCUUGAGAUAGAACUAAAAAGUAUCAAAUUUAGGGAUAUUUUAAUUUGUGGAUAUAAAUAUCGGGUCAGGUCGGGUUGUGUCAGGCAUAUGUUAAUUGAAUCAUAAUUUAUUUGAUUGAAUUUAAUAUAUAAAAAAAUGGUAGAAUAGGAAAAAAAAUACCGGAGAAUCAUAUUUGUUGGUAACUAUAACUUUUUGAGCAAAGUAGUGAAAGUUUUAUAAUUUUUGUGUGAGAAAAUAAAAUUAUAUGACUUUUAGUGAAAAAUAUUAUAAUUAUAUGACCAUUUGUGAAAUUAACCACAAAUUUCCCUUCCUCAGCUCUUCCUACUUUAGCGUAUUAUUUCUCGAAUCAAUCCACCUGAGUCAUUGAAAGUUGUAGACUGCUACGAAAUUAGGGUCAAGCAUUCCUUCUAAGUGAAAUGUUCAAAUGCAGAGCUGAUAAACAUCUAUCAAACAAUUAUAUCCAGUCCAAUGAAUGAUUACUCCUUCUUAAAGGAUAAUGAUUCCUUCGAUUAAGAUAUUGUAACUUGAUGUGAAGCCCAACUAGAAGGUAAAAGGAACCUCCCUCGAUCAUUUAUCAAACAACUGCCUUGUAAAAUCUUCAAAGGGUCAUAAGAUGUAAUUAUUUUGGAAAUGCAUAUUAUUUUAUAAUCCCAAAAAAAAAAAAUAGCUUCUGGAAAUGCAUAUUAUUUCUGCUUAAACUAAUUUUUAUUUUCAUAUUACCAAUUUGUUGGAAUGUCUGGAAUUCUACAACCACCCAGUAUAAUCCCACUUAGUGGGGUCUGGGGAGGGUAGUAUGUACGCAGACCUUACCCCUACCCUGGUUAGAGAGACUGUUUCCAAAUAGACCCCUGACAUCCUUCCCUCCAAGAAUUUCCCACCUUGCUUUUGGGGAGACUCGAACUCACAACCUCUCGGUUGGAAGUGGGGGUUGCUCACCUUCCGUCCUACAACAGUACUUCUAAAGUAUGAAUUGUUUUCCUUUACUGUUUCCCAACCCCCAUACGUUCCGUCCUACAACGGUACUCUACUGUAAACUGACAGGAGUCUUGGUUAUUCAAAGUUUGAUAUGAAUGCUCUUUGAAUAACACAUACAAAUAACAGCUCUACUCUUGGUACAAGUCCAGAAAUCCAACUACUAUAUCACUUUUUUCCUUAAGAAAUACUUCCAAGAUAACAGAGGGGGGAGAAUUUUUUGUAAGAAUUAAACUACUAAAAUCGUUGGCAUAUUUAAAUGCAGAAUUCAGACUGCUUUACCUAAAGAUUAUUAUCCAAGUCAAACCAGUAAGCAACAGGACAAUUUGCAUAACCACAACACAACAGAAGUAGAAAAGAAAAGCUAGAAUUGCUGUCAAUUCAGAUGUAGUUAUUCGGACAGCAUCCACUAUGAGAUUACUAUGCCCAGCGGAAAAGUAUUUACACUAUAACUGCAGUUGUAUGUAACCUACCUCUCCUUGUAGCUUAUGCUAUCGCUAUCCUUGAUUUCAUCUUUUGACUCUUGGCAGCUCUCUUAAUACAUUUCCCACUUCAAUGGCUCCCAUCAAAGUCCCAAGCUGCACCUCAAAGAUAAAUAGCAACACAUUCAGAUAUAUUAAAAACGGAAGAAUAAAAAACUCACCUAAGUAGAUCCUAUUGUUUGGAAAGUUCAAGUUUACCUGUUUCCAAUUUAAUCUUUCUCUUUAGAAGGAUAUUCAACUUAUACAGAUUCAAUUUACGUAUCUUCUCAUCCUUCAUUUUCGACCUCCCUUCUAUUUAAAAUAUAUAUUCAGAACUAUCUUAUAAACAGGACAUGGAAUCAAUACUGUGGUUUCAAUUAUCAUUUAUCCAUCACAAGGAUAAAACUCUCAAACUCCUACACACGAAAAUUGUAGCACAGAGCUUAUUCUCCAGAGAAGAUGACCACAUUUCAGAGAAUAAAUCGAGUUUGUAAAGGAAAGCAAGUCUAUUCUGCAAGUCUACACCAACCACAAACAUAUAUUGAGAAAGCAGCUGAUGCCAAAGCAACAAAAAAAGCUCAUCAGACCAAUAACUUUUCUGAGCUAUGGUCACUCGAGAUUUGGAAUAGCUUAUGCAGACCUCCAUAUGCACGAAUCUGUAGGUGUCAUACUAUGAUAAUUGAAGGUGAUAAAGAGAAGGAGGUAGACCUAGAAUCACAUAAAUGAAAGUUGUGUCAUAAGACUUACUAUCUCUACAUUAAUGCCAACUUAAUUACAAUGCGAAACAAAGGAUCCAUAGUGGUAAUAAUAAUUAGCAAGGAUCAAGGCAUAGUUUUUGUUGUUACACUCAAAAUAGGUUUGUGAUUGACCAGGAGUACUUUAUUGGUUACACUUUUUUGUCCAUGCAGGGAAGAGCGACAUCUAGAGAACCUCUUAGUUUUAGAAGAAUUCCUACUUUUCCUUCAAAGACAAACUACUAUGCAUUGGAAGGACAUCUGCCUGAAUAGCGGGAUAGAUAAACAUAAUUCAUAUAGCCAACCCCAACUAGUCUAGGAUCGACGUGUAGUUGAUUAGUGAUUGAAGUAAAUUGUAAAGAAUCCGUUAAGGCCUCAACCAAGAGGCAAAAAUUCUAAGAAAAAAACUACUUAUAAGAAGUCCUUUUACUAUCCGCAAGAUAUUGGGAACAUCAUGAAACCAUGAUUAGCUGAUCAGAUGAAGAAUUCCUAAAGAAAGCUUCACAUCCAGCUACCUUUUGUCCCUAACGGCUAACGCCCAGUCCAAUCCCUCACCUCCUUCCGCUUUUGGUGAUACCAUAGGUACUUGAACUAAUCCUAGUUCGCUUCCUCUUCAUGGUCGGUGUAAAGCUAUUAUUCUUUCUGUUUAUUAACUGAUCAUCAGUCUUGUUUGCCCUGGAAUUUGAUUCUCAUCAGGAUCACCUAGAUCAAUCGGUUCAAGCUUUGACAAACUCGCCUUCCUGUGUGUUUUGACAAUCUACUCAAGUCUAUCAUGUGUCAAAACAGCUAUCUUGGUGACCCUUCUUGUCAAUAAAGUCAAAAUAAAACGAGGAUUCCUCCACUUCUAGCAAAAUGCCUCAGUCACCGGUCACCAAUAAGGCUGUAGGAAUGCAAAGAUAAGUGUAUGAUGCUUGGUAUACUAAACCAACAAGAAAAACAUGACUUGUUAAAUAUUGAAUUAUUACAACUAAAGCAGACCAUUAAAUUGGAUUAUGAAGAUUGAAGGGGCAUUAUUUACAACUGCAGCACCAACUAGAUAGCUUAGUGCUAAACAGCCCCGCGGUCUUCUGACUAGAGGAUCAAGUUUGCGCAAGCCAUCCAAAGUUGGUCAUUGAAAUGAUUAAGAUUUUUCAGAAUGGAUUAAAUCCAAAUUAAUCCAUCAAGUUUUGGGCCAAAAUAAGCUAAAAGAAUGCAUGCAAAUGAUUAGUUCGCAACUCUCUAUAUGGCUAAUAUGAUUACUUCUCUCCGUUUCAUUUUAAGCGAAGGUGCUUGACAAAGCACGGAAUUUAAGAAAGAAAGAGCCUUCUGAAAAUUGUGGUCUUACCUCUUAAAUAUGCUAUGGCAUUUUUGUGGCUAUAAGAUCAUAUUUUUAGGGUAAAAUGAGAAAUUUAAAAUUAUCAGCUUUUUUUGAAGUGAAGCAGGUUUUAAAAAAUAUAUUAAAAUAAAUACCGAAACGGAAAAAAUGGCAGUAAGUAAGAAAAAAAAUACUCAAAGUAACACACUUUUUUAAGUCUUUUAUUUUUAAUGGUUUAGCAGAUACUUAAAUCAACAAUGAUAUAGUCAGAAAAAGGAAGGAGAGAAUUGAAGAAGGAAAAAUUAGAGCAUCCAGUGUAAACCAGAACAGCAGAAAAGGAUGAAUGCCAAAUAAGAACAGUAAAAACAAAGGGGCUAAUAAAGUAAUAAGAAGAGUGUAAAUUCCAUGGGCAAAGACAGGGAAUUUCCACGGAAGAAGAGAGGACGAAAUGCAGAAGCAGUGAAUAACAGAAAACAGGACAUACCAAAGAAAGAAAAAGAAAGCGGAAGAAGAAGCUGCUGAUGCAGUAGCUUGAAUGCAGGAUCCUAAGAAAGAAUAGAAAGGCAACAAAGGAUUAAUGAAGAAUAGGGAAACAGGAAGAUUCUUACACAUGGAGAAGGAAAAGAAAAUAAGAGGGAAAGAAGAAGCCGCUUGGAUCCAUGAUGAUAGGCUAUAUUUACGUAUUUUAGUUGCUUAUUACACUCUAAUUUACUGCACUUUAAUUGAGUUUGGGCUUUAAUUGCUAUUGUUUUGUACUAAUGGUAUGUUUUAUGCCUUGUAGCAGUGAUUCCGAGCGAUGUAGAUGUUAUGAAAUGAAUUCAAGUGAUUUAAAGCUUUAAAGUUUGAAUAAAAGUUUAAGGAAUUAAGCCAGGAUCAUGUUUAGGGGUCAACGGAUGAUAGUUAGAGCAAAUGAAGAAUCCAGUAGGCAUAUUGUGCACUGUCUAGUAAAAUAGAUAUAACGUUUUGCUCAAAACUCCAUUUGGGCUCUACAAUAUAUGGUUGGAAAGAUAACUCAAAGGGCUACAACUUUCAUGUUUUACGUUUCUCUAAAUUCGCGACGGAACAGGGUAAAAAUGUGCAUCAAUAGCGCGAUCGCGCUCGUCAGGCAGAACACUGGAUCACUAGCGCGAUCCCGCUAGUCAAACCCGGAAAAAUUAUCCUUUUUCACAUUGGAGAAGGUAUAAUUGUUUGGGCUCAACCCUACUUGGUAUAUAUACAUGGAAAAACAGUAUUUUGAUAGAGGAGGGCAUUUUUGAAAGGAAAAUACAAGCACAGAGCCGCCUUGGAGGCGGGGUUUCAUCUUUUCUUCCUCCAAACUUAGUAAUUUUUAUGUUUCCUUGUAUGAUUUGUUUUUUUGCUUCCAUGUCUAUGUGGAGCUAAACUUUACGAUUUAGGGUUGUAGUUCUUUCAUGACUAUUGUUAUUUGGACAUUGAUUUUGAUUCCUUAGUUUAUCAUAUUGGUUUAAUUAUUCAAUCCUGCACUUAAUUAUUUGAUUGCUUGAUCACCAAUUGAAUACAAUCUACGAAUCUAGAGUUGAAUUCGAAAGUGUGAAUUCUAGAUUGCAUAUAGGAGUGAGUAGAGCAAGUUCGUGAACCUGGGCAUCGGGGAACAGAUUCACGGUUAGGAUAGACAUAUACAUAAUUGUCUUGCUUGGUUGAUUUACAAGAAUUAUAAAUGCAUUCUUGUUGAUUCUAAUUCCAUAGACAUAUAGGCGUUAGGUUAGCUUGAAUAAGCGAGUAAGAACUCGACAGAUUCUUAUGAGUAAUAUCAACCCUGAUAACCAAUAAACUAGAUAAAUUAGUUAGUCAAUUCAAUUGAAGAAUACAAUAGAAAUGUUAGAACGAAACAAACUCGAAACAAGGACUAAACUAAUAUACAGAAUGACAUAAAGCUGUCAAAUUAACAUCAAUCCCUCUUCUUGGGCCCAAAGACUGAUGCCCAAAAUAGCAAAUAUUGUGAAUUAUUCUUAAACACGCUUGGACAGUGAACUACGGGGAGUAGGACCCAGGUAUCAUGCUUUAAUUCAAAGAUACAAUAGAAAUGUUAGAUAGCCCAUAACCCUAGAUCGUUGUCAUUAGUCAUUACAUUGAUAUCAUAAAAAUCUGCUCUUCCUCUGUUCAAAGUUCUUAAUUAGUUUAGAAUCAAAUACUUCUAGGUUUAAUUCUUGUAUAGAUAAUUAGAAUUGUCUAAUUUAGUUAAUAGUUAAUCACAAAUCCUCGUGGAAUCGACAUCCAAUUUUUAGUCACUUUAUUACUUAACGACCGCGUAUACUUGCUUGUGCGUUUGGCCGCAACAAUCCAUUGAAUCACUAGUGGUCUGCCAGGAAAGAAGAACAUGAAUAAGGGGCAGAUGGGCAAGGAAGAGCGCGAGAGAGAGAGAGAGGGGCAGCAAGCAUUGAUACCGAAAAUGAGGAGGAGCAGCAAAGCGACAAUGAGAAAGGGGAACUGACAGGAGAAGUAAAGGAAAGGGGAAAAGGGAGGAAUGAGAGGCUGGGAACGGAGGCCAAUAAUAGGUUACUGCUGACAUGUCAGCACGGGAAAGAAUAGAAAGAAAAGAAAGAGUUAAAUUGAGUGAUAGCUUUGGUUUACUAUGUCCUUCUUUAUUCAUUUCUAUUGACAAAAAAAAAAAGAGAGAGUGAUCCACUAUUAAGUCAAGAUUGAAGCAGCUAUUAAGUCAUAGCAUAUAACAUAACAGAUAUAGAACAACACAACGCAGACAUGCAUACAUAUAUACCAUUAAUAAAAGCGUAUAAGAAAGAAAAUGAAUCGAUAGAAUAAACAUAAGGAAACUAGCCUGGUACUUAGAAGGCAUACAAAUGAGAUAUUGUUAUUCUGAAUGAAGAAGAGAACAUAAAUGAUUAAUUAAAUGUUGCUUCAUUUCCAAACAUGAGGGAAAAAACAAUCCUAUGUAUUACUGCAUUGAUAAAAAAUCAAGAGCAGCAUCGAGAGCUUUAAAUCAGUGCUCGAGCUGGCGCGCGUUCCAGCUUCUUCUCCUCUAUUUUCUUUUGCUGACCUGAAUGCUCUUAUAGUAUUUUCCAGUUUCAUAUCUUUGAAGGUUCAAUACAUCAAUCAAGCCUUCUGGUAUUGCUUGAAGCUUCCAAAAGAUAUAAGAACAAGCUGCUUUAGCCCAAAAAGUUGCGAUUCGAAGCUCUUGAGUUUUUUCAAGUUUGUCCUUAAAUCCACAUAACUAUGACGACCAUCAAUGAAUCCCAUUAAUACACUCUCUUUCAACUCUAAGACUUCAAAGAAAUCGUUUCGUCUGGAUCACAACCAAGGCCAUAAAUUCAUGUUAACCACUCAGCAAUAAAAGAUAUGUCAACUUAUUGCAAUGCAAAUAUUAAUAAGCUAAAGUUUCUAGAAGAUGAUUAAAGUUGGAUUUUGCUUUUAAAAAAGGUUUUCAAGUUUGAAAGUUGCUCAAAUACUGAAUUAGAAGAACAAGGAAAAAAAUGAUGGACUCCUGAGCUAGUAACUCCACUAUAGUUUUUAGAAUAAGUAGUAGAUUUUUCCUUGUUCUUGUAACUCAUUACUUGAGUGCAAUUUUUAGACCCGAAAACUUUAUUUUAGCAAAAUUCAGCUUCUGAAAACUCUCUUACGAAGAUUUGCAUUGAAAUAAGUUGUGACAUUUGCUUGCCGAAUGGUUACCGUGAUCAUGUGGUCUUGGUUAUUCAUACUUCUAAGAACCCUGAGGAAGCUGACCUUCAUACUCCAGAAAACCCUGAGGAAGCUGAUCUUCUCUGGAACCGGUUAGACGGGAGCGAACUAACUAUUGUAAGAGAAAUCAAUGUCCUUAAAGUCCUAAAGUUGAAAGAAAAUGCAUUCAUAUAAGCCAGAGAUUGGUGGCCUCUUUAGUCUCCUAGUCUUGUGGAUUGAAGGACAAACUUGAAAACCUAGAGGGCUUAAAAUCGCAACUUUCUUAGGCUAAAGCAACUUGUUUCAUAUCUUAUUGCAAACUUGAAGCCCCGGAAACUUAGCUAUUAUAUCAAAUAUUCAAGAUAUAAACUGAAAAAUACUACAAAAGCAUUCAAAUCAGUAUGGCACUUGUUCUUGCCGAGUGCUUACCAUGAUCCUAUAGUCUUGGUCGUUCAUACUUCCUUAUUAGGAGUAUUGGUAAAUGAUGUUAGGCUUCGAAGAGUGAUAAGCUCCUUGAGAACAAGAACUGGCUAAAUACAAUUGUAAACCAGUAAAUAGAAAACAGAGUAAGCCACAACAUCAUCAUUUGAUCAAUCACUCAUUUUGUCUUUGAACCAAAAAUAAAAAUUAAACUUCAUAUAAAACCGAGGUUAUCAAUUUUUGUUGUCUAAACACAUGGAGUUCAGAUUAAACUACGAAUAAUCUACUCAUGACUAUAUCACUUUCAUGUUCAAUUACUGUGAAUAAAAUAGGAAAACAGGACUGACAGAGAUAAUAAAGAUUCAAUUCACCAUCACCUAAAUUACCGAACAUGUAUAAAAAUUAAGUUCAGAAUUGACACACAUAAUCAGUUGUACAUAUUGCCAGAGUACCAACUAUUUUGAAAAUCGUAGAUUAUGCUAAACAUACUUGGACAUCAAACAAAUGAACCCAACAAUUUAGUAAAGCCUUUAAAGCAUCCAGUUCAUAUUUAAAUUAAAAGAAAAGGACAAGUAGAAACCCUCAAACUGCCUAUCAGAUGAAUGUCUCAACUAUUCAAAACACGAACCCAGAGGCAAAGUCUCCGCUAAUGCAACUAAACUACAAUUUCUUCAAUUCAUCUCUACAAUCUCAUUAAACCUCACAAACUAUUUAUUAUUUAAGGAGUCAGCUUAUCUUAUGUGAGCUCAUCCACCUCCUUUAACUUUAUUCUUUGGGCCAAGAUCAAUUCAAAUCAAAGCUCAACUCUCUUCUGUCUCAAAACUUGGCCCAACAAAUCUCUUAAUGUUCUCCACUACAUGGCUCAUUUCAAAUUCUCCAACUCAAGUUUAUCAAACUCCCAAAUUCUUUGAGGCUUCAUGCAUCAAUCAAUCAACUGUCUUAAUAUUGAAUCAAAUAAACAGGAAAUGCUCAGCACCACAAUUGAAGACAUAACAUUUCCAAGUGAACAUGAGGAUAAACAGUAAGCAUUUGAUAUGUAUGAACAAAUCAUGAUACCAGCUCCUUUUGGAAUACGAAGACAACUUGGAACCAAGAAUUUCACCAAGAAAUGGGCUUUUGUCCCCAGUCAAAUUUCUAAAAUUUCUUGCUGUCACCCGUGACACUCCAAAAAAAAAAUUUAAGAAGAUUCAGGACUGGUAUAAUUCAAGACCACUUGCAUAAUGAAAUUGAAAUGUGACCUGACAACAACGACAUACCCAGUGUGAUAUAUGUGAUAUAUGGGGAGGGUGGGGUGUAUGCAGACCUUACCCCUACCAUGUGAGGUAGAAAAAUAUGACAUAAUUGACUUUGAAUUUACCUUAUGACACCUGUUAUUAAUGAAACUUAUGAUAAUCAAUUGUCUCUAAAAACAAAGAGCAAAUGACUAAACGACAAUCCAGGUUCUCAUUUUAUUUCCACAAGCCUAUACCUAAAAAAAUACCUCUUCGGCCCAAAAAAUUACAAUUCUUAAUUAAAAGCCCAAAAUUUAUUUAUUCUCUAAUUCAUCUGGAAAUGACACCACGUAGCUACUUUACAAGGCUGCUAUUUAAGAAUUAGCCAGUACAUCCUGAAUUUCAAUUUUUCAGUUCAAUUUUCGGGACAAAAAUGUCAUCAAUUGUCUUGAAGUUAAAAUUUUUAAUUUAAAAUUUCAGGACAAAAAUAAGUAUUGGCUAAUCACUAAAUAGUAUCCAUGAGAAUGACUAUGUGUGCAUUUGCCCCAAUUCACAGGCUCUCAAAUCGAAACUGCAUGUCAUUAAACCCAUAAGCAAAAAAAAGUUUGAACCUUGAUUUUAAUCUUCAUGCAAAGCGGUAAUCCUCAAUGUAGUGAUACAAGCAUAGACUACAAUGAUAAUAAUUUCUAGAGUUAGAAAUGGACAGAUAUGCUAAAGAAGUCGUGUAAUAAGCAGCAACCUACAACACAUGGAUACCCUGAAACGGACUGAAGAUUUUACUAAUUCAAUACCAGAUUAGAUUGAACCAAAACACAACGAGAAUGAAACUGACAAUUUUAAAAGCUAUGUUUCAACUCUAUUAAUUUAAUACCAGACUCAGAUCCAUGUCCUAUUCAUGAGAGAACACACGAAACAAACUCGAAACAAGGACUAAACUAAUAUACAGAAUGACAUAAAGCUGUCAAAUUAACAUCAAUCCCUCUUCUUGGGCCCAAAGACUGAUGCCCAAAAUAGCAAAUAUUGUGAAUUAUUCUUAAACACGCUUGGACAGUGAACUACGGGGAGUAGGACCCAGGUAUCAUGCUUUAAUUCAAAGAAAACACCACAUAAAGUGAUAAACAGAGAGGAGGGAGGAAUGGAAUUUACCAAAAAAAAUCGAUUAAUAGAAAAGAAUCCUAGCAAUGCCGCAAACUCCGAUGCCGGAAAUUUCAAGUUGCGAUAGGCACAUGGAAAAGAAAUCACGAUCAGAGCCUCCGGUUUCUAAUCGGAAUCCAUCUCAGAAUCAACCUUUUUUGUGUAUUUCGUUUCUCAAUGUACAAGAGUAUUUAUACAAGAGAAGGCGUACCCGCCUACUUUUGGGUUAAUUCUUCGUCCGGAUUUUUACACAAAUAGCCUACUAUUAGUAUUACUUUUUCUAGCCAUAUAACUAUAUUAUGCAUUAAAU